GUGGGGAAUCUUCCGCAAUGGACGAAAGUCUGACGGAGCAACGCCGCGUGAACGAUGACGGCCUUCGGGUUGUAAAGUUCUGUUAUACGGGACGAAUGGCGUAGCGGUCAAUACCCGUUACGAGUGACGGUACCGUAAGAGAAAGCCACGGCUAACUACGUGCCAGCAGCCGCGGUAAUACGUAGGUGGCAAGCGUUGUCCGGAAUUAUUGGGCGUAAAGGGCGCGCAGGCGGCGUCGUAAGUCGGUCUUAAAAGUGCGGGGCUUAACCCCGUGAGGGGACCGAAACUGCGAUGCUAGAGUAUCGGAGAGGAAAGCGGAAUUCCUAGUGUAGCGGUGAAAUGCGUAGAUAUUAGGAGGAACACCAGUGGCGAAAGCGGCUUUCUGGACGACAACUGACGCUGAGGCGCGAAAGCCAGGGGAGCAAACGGGAUUAGAAACCCGGGUAGUCC
rnacentral:rRNA from 1 species